GAUGAACGCUAGCUACAGGCUUAACACAUGCAAGUCGAGGGGUAACGAGAGGAAAGCUUGCUUUCCUUGUUGACGACCGGCGCACGGGUGAGUAACGCGUAUCCAACCUGCCCCCAACUAGGGAAUAACCUUGCGAAAGUAAGACUAAUACCCUAUAAUUUCCUCAGAUGUCAUCUGACGAGGAAUAAAGAUUUAUCGGUUGUGGAUGGGGAUGCGGUCUGAUUAGCUUGUUGGCGGGGUAACGGCCCACCAAGGCAACGAUCAGUAGGGGUUUUGAGAGGAAGGUCCCCCACAUUGGAACUGGGACACGGUCCAAACUCCUACGGGAGGCAGCAGUGAGGAAUAUUGGUCAAUGGGCGGAAGCCUGAACCAGCCAAGUAGCGUGCAGGAUGACGGCCCUAUGGGUUGUAAACUGCUUUUAUACAGGAAUAAAGUUAGCCACGUGUGGUUAUUUGUAGGUACUGUAUGAAUAAGGACCGGCUAAUUCCGUGCCAGCCGCCGCCGUAA
rnacentral:rRNA from 1 species